AGAUGCUCUCAUUGAGGUCAAAGAUAUUUUUAGCUACGCUCAUGUGUCCCAUGCUUGGCCAAGCCAUCCUGGAUGUUAAUCUUGGAUUCCACAAAUGCCAGGUCUUCUAAUCCAAGAGGCAUAGAAGUGACAGGGAAAUCUGAGUGCACUGGAAAAUGUAGCACAUGGCCUUUUGAGGAUUUUGUCCAAUUGCCCUGCAUGAUAAAAACAACAGUUAACACCUAAUGCUCAGAAAAUGCUUCAUCAUUUAUAGAGUACUUCCACUGACAUCGCCUCAUUUGAUCUUCCCAAGAGGUUCAGGAGAAAGGAUAAAUGUCACUUAGCAGAGGACAGGAUCUUGAGGGCACAGGACACAGGACAGUUUCCACUUCUGCUGACACCAGAGAUGAGCAAGCAAGGUGGAAUGGAACACAGCAUGAAAAUGGAGCCAGAAAACCUGGGCUCGACUAUCAGCAAUCCAUCUAUGUGAACUUACAGAAGUCACCUGCCUUCUCUGGGUCUCUGUUUCUACAUCUAUAAAAUGGGAACAGCAUGUUUGUGUGCCUGACAGAGCUAUUGUAAGAUCAAAGAAAGGAAUGCAAGUGCAAGACUUUUGAGAACAGCAAAGUUUUAUUUGGCUUUGAUUGUUUAAUAUUUACUUCUAAAAUUGAUUACUGGAUACUAUUAUUCAUAAUACUGAUCAAUCUAUGCAGCACGGGCCAAGCCUGCACAGGAGCUCCUAUCCUCUCACUGGAAUGCAAGUAGAACUGCCUUCAGGCGGAGCCUGUGUGACUUGAAGAGAAUGGCCUCCAGGGCCUGUGGGGCAAUGUGACUCCAUGGUACUGGGCCUGGGGGCAUUGGAAACUGCUUGUGCUCACAAACCUUUACACCAAAUGGCUUGUAAAAGAUAAAAACAAAAUUGAGCCUGAGCUCUGUCAAUCUAGAGCUGUAAUAGUGCUACUGCAGGACUAGGAAAUGGGGCCUGUCUGAAAAAUAUCUCCAGCCAAUGCUGAGGCCACCUUGGAAGCAGGGGUCUGACAGGGGUGACUUGGUGGAGUGGAGCAAGGAAGGGAUUCUUUUUUAUCUUUAUUGUUGAAAGUAUUAUAUAUGUCCCCCCCUCCACCAUUGACCCCAAAGGUAUUCUUUAUUGAUGUGCUGCCAGGUCCUUGAUAAAAGCAAUACUUAUUGAGGGAAACCCUGGGUGUGCAGGGAAAUACCCUUAUAAUACACUUCCUGGGCCAGGCUUCUUCCUUCUUUUAAUGUAAUACUAUUGCCUCUACCCAUCUGCCCCCACACAGAUCAUCAAGGUAUACAGAUUUGCCUGGCCAGGUGAACAGAAAUUCAGCCACUGAAGUCUUUGUAAAGAGCAAAACCAUUUGCUGUCUGCUAUCAGAAUGAUGAUUUCAGAGAGGUUUACCUAAAGCGCUCUCUACCCACCCCACACCUCCAGAUAUCUUAAAGGGAAAGUUCUGUCGAUCCACAAGUCAGCACAUCCUAUGCUAGACCUCACUGGGCCAUGUAAACAGUGUUCUGUCUUUUCUUCUCCUCAUUUGGCAACAAAUACUUAUCAGACUCCAACGGUGUCCGGCACAUGUGUAGAGGUGGAUACCUAGAAUGAGUGAGAUUCCGUUUCUGUCUCUAAAGAGUUAAUAUUCUUGGAGGAGACAGAAACUAAGAAAAUAGUUACAGUACCAUGUAAUAAGUAUAACUGAGACAUACCCAGGAGCCAAGGGAUACAGGAGAAAAGAACCUAACUGUGGUGGGUGUUAAAAGAUGAGAAAAGAGAAAAGCUUCCCAGAAUGAAGGACACCAGGUUUGCAAAGGAGAAAGAGUUUUGAGGGUGAAGGAAUAACCUGUGAAAAGCAUAGAGGCAGGAACAAUGAUGUGUGCUUGUGGUAGAAAGUCUGUAAGAGGUGUGUCAGCAGACAAGGCUGCAAAAUAAGCAGGUGAAACAUCUCACUUUGCUAAGUCAGGAGUUUAGAUUUCACCAUAAAGGUGAUGGGUAGCCUUUGGGAGGUUUUCAGAAAGGUUGGAUUUGCAAUUUUUUAGAGAUCAGAGAGGCAGUGUGGAGAACAGGUUGAAAGAACGUGAAGGCAAGUUAAGAAGCCCUUGCAAUAGCCCAGGUGGGGGAUGAUGAGGCCUUGACUAAAGAUAGUGGUAAUGAAGGUGGAGAGGAGAAGAGGGAUUAAAAGAAAAUCGAAGAGACAGAGUCUUCAGAAUUGAUUGAGUAUGGGUUGGAAGUAGGGGGGGAAAUCACCGGGACAACCUGAGAUUUUUUUUUCUGGCAGCUGGUAUAUGUGAGGCUAUAACUGAGAUAAUGAACACAGGGGGAUGAAGUAAUUUCAGAAAGAAAUUAACAAGUUCAGUUUUGAAUAUGUUAAGUUUGAAGUGAGUCUAAAAUAUCUAGGUGAAGAAAUUUAGUCAGUUGUUAAUAUGAGCCUGGAGUUCAAAAAGGAGAACAAGAUGGUAAUACAAGAAAUUUCCUGUGUUGGAUAUGAAAUUCUUGCUAAAGACAUAUGCAUUACCUUUGAGGUUACUCAGUAUUAAAUUCCUUUUAAAAAUUUAGUACCAAAAAAAUAAAAUCUGAACCAUAAGAACACUCCCUUCAAUCAGAAAAAGAAAAUAAUGUAAGUCACCAUAUUUACUUUUUUGCCCUGCCUGCCAGGAAGCUCAGAGUUAUAUUUCAUGCUCAAUUACAAUAACUAUACUAAGCCUUUUAACUAGCAUAUUGCUUUCUUGCCAUCUUUUGGCUCUAAUUGUUGAUUUACAAUUUAAUAUCUUCAGUGUAUGUUCCAUAUUAUAAACUGCCUCUACUUUUCUUCGGAAACAAAAAGUAUAUGUUUUCACUUGUCAUUAUUAAUUUAAGGUUGAGCCCUGUCCACUUAAACAAUUCUAGGCUCCUGAAUUGGAGGUUUUCUUUGCAAUCUAUGGUGGUAACUAUUUUUCUCCAGGUACAAAAGAGAAAACAACAACAAUCCCUCUUCAGAAUGGAAAUUGAUCCUCAGGGCCCAGUUGGAGCCAAGGGGGUCAGAAGCUUACAUGUGGUUAUAGAAAGCUAGAGCCAUUCACUCAAACAGAGCACCUGAAAUGCAUGAGGGACCAGUUGCAACCCAGACCCUUUCCUACUUCGCAGCCAAGGGGAACUCUUCACUCCCGAGAUGAGGCAAGGCCCCAACAUAAAUAGCAGCACACAGCGUUUGGGUAAAUUUCUUUCAGCUUAUUUAGGGGUGCCUUUAACCUUUGAAGGAGAAGAAUAUGUAA